AGUUUAAACGGUCUCUAAGGUUAUUAAACUAAUGUUUAUGACUGAUGAGGAAUUUAUAUGAUAAGUUUUUCAAUAAAACUCAGGAAAAUAUAUAAAUAAUUACCGUACUAAAAACCGACACAGGUUCGCGCAUAGAGUAUAUCAAGAGGUGAAUCAAUUACCCUUAAGGAACUCGGCAAAUUGCACUCGUACGUUUGACAAUAAGAGUGACCACAUUAAGUGGUAUCAUACAAUCGGGACCUGCGACUGUUUCCCAAAAACACAGAUCUCUGCAACGAUUAAUUUCUUAGUAUAGGGAUCGAGUCCUGCUCAGUGCCAAGACGCUAAAUUAAUAACUCUAAUUAAAAGUUAGGGAAGUUUUAUAACGUCUGGUAAACAGCAGUCUUAACUAUAAGGAUUCUAAGGUAGCGAAAUUCCUUGGCCACUAAUUAUGGUCCUGCAUGAAUGGAAGCACGAUGGGUCCACUGUCUCAAGGGUAAGUUCAGUGAAAUUGGAGUGGUCGUGAAGAUACGAUCUAACUGUAGAUAGACGGGAAGACCCUAUGCAGCUUUACUGCAGCUAACUAUUGUAAUAGUAAAAAUUAUGUUCAGGGUAGAUGGUAGUAUAUGUAUACCAAUAUGUAUACGUUGAUGAGACACCAUCCUUAAUUUUUCACUAUUAUUUACCAAAAUAUGGAACAGUAGUUAGUGGGUAGUUUGUUUGGGACGAACUUCUCUUAAAAAGUAUCAGAGAAAUGCAAAGUAAAACUAAGUUCGGAUGGAAACCGAAAGAUUAUUGUAAAUCUAAGUUAACGUAAUAGUUUAAGUUUUGCUGACUGUGAGACCGAUAGGUCAAUCAGGUACGCAAGUAGGUUAUAGUGAUCCGCUAAUACCGUAUGAUUGGGUUAGCGCUAAUUAGAUAAAAGCUACGCUAGGGAUAACAGCUUUAUCCCCGGAGAGAGUCCAUAUUGUCCCGGGGGCUUGAGACCUCGAUGUCGACUCAUCCUAGCUCAGGUGUGUAUCAGCACCUAAGAGUUCAACUGUUCGUUGAUUAAAAGGGUACGCGAGUUGGGUUCAGUACGUCGUAAGACAGUACGUUCCCUAUCUUCUACAGUGAUUAUGUGCUAAUGUUAGAGCAUUAUCUAGUACGAAAGGACCGAGAAAUGAUCUAUCACUGGUGACACAGUUGUAAUAUAUAUUGCAUUUGCUGUUAAGCUAAAUAGAUUUGUGAGAAGUUCUGAAUGCAUCUUAAGAACGAAACCAACUAACGGAAGCACACUAUUCUAAUAUGUUUAGAAUAAAAAGAGGAAGACUACCUCUAAUUUAAUAGGCAAAUGAUGUUAAUUCGUAAGAAUGUA
rnacentral:ncRNA from 1 species